UCCCUGGUGGUCUAGUGGUUAGGACUUGAUGCUGUCACCUCUGCAGCCUGGGUUCAAUCCCUGGUCUGGGAA
rfam:Sus scrofa isolate TJ Tabasco breed Duroc chromosome 1, whole genome shotgun sequence.